AGAACCCCGGCGAGGGGAGUGAAAAAGAACCUGAAACCGUGUACGUACAAGCAGUGGGAGCCCCACCACUAAGCCAGUGGUGAACUCCACAUACGCAUCCUUUGCUGAGGAUACGGUUAACGGAGCGCAAGCGACGUUCAACCGCAAAAGAAGCAGAGGGGGCUUAGUGGUGGGGUGACUGCGUACCUUUUGUAUAAUGGGUCAGCGACUUAUAUUCUGUAGCAAGGUUAACCGAAUAGGGGAGCCGGAGGGAAACCGAGUCUUAAUUGGGCGUUAAGUUGCAGGGUAUAGACCCGAAACC
rnacentral:rRNA from 1 species